UACGAAGGGGGCUAGCGUUGCUCGGAAUCACUGGGCGUAAAGCGCACGUAGGCGGAUCUUUAAGUCAGGGGUGAAAUCCUGGAGCUCAACUCCAGAACUGCCUUUGAUACUGAGGAUCUUGAGUUCGGGAGAGGUGAGUGGAACUGCGAGUGUAGAGGUGAAAUUCGUAGAUAUUCGCAAGAACACCAGUGGCGAAGGCGGCCCACUGGCCCGAUACUGACGCUGAGGCACGAAAGCGUGGGGAGCAAACAGG
rnacentral:rRNA from 1 species